rnacentral:tRNA from 1 species
GGCAAAAUAGCUCAGUUGGGAGAGCGUUAGACUAUAGAUCGAAAAAGUCCCUGUUUCGAUCCCGGGUUCCGGCA